GGGAGAGAAAGAACAAAGAUGGUGCAGGCACCAUGAGGGGAGCCAGAGUCCCAUGACCAACAGGGAGCGAAAGUACUGUAGCGUUCAUCUGUCCGAACGGUGUAGAAAAUGGUGCCUUGAAGAAACUGCAGAAGCUGUGAAUCUUGCUGUAACGCUUUCUGUGCUUGCUGCAUUAAUUGGGGACACUCUGGAUGGCUCUGAACUGGAUCCCGUUCGGCAGUCCAUUGGAUGGAUCCUGCCUUCCACACAAGGAAUGGACAGAUC